GCAGUCCAAGACCUUUGUUCUCUGUUUUCUCUGCGCCGCACACCGCUUUCUCUGCGGCGUCCCUCCCUUUUUUAGGUCGAUCGUGACAAAUAGGGCGUACAUGCGGAUGGAUCUAUAUAUUAUUCAGCGGCAAAGAAACGAACACCCACCGAGCGCAAGAAGCGGCGUCACGAUCAGCCCAAGUAAGAACAAGAGUACCCAGAAAAGAUCGCUCGUCGCCGCCUUUGGCACCCCUUUCUCUUUCAAAUCCUCACCUCUUCUCCUUCUUCUUUUGUUGUUUUCUGGGCGUCUUGCUGGCUUACGAUUUGUUUUGGUUGUGGUGUGUGUGAAAGAUGGGUUUGCCGUGGCAUGUGUAUCGUCUUGUGCCCCAGGGAGGAAGGAAAGAGAAAAAGAAAGGAAGGGGUUUAGGAGCUGGAUGCGCUAUGUUGAGAUGUGCGAUCAGAGGUGAGAAAAUGGAGAACGAACAGAGUGAGAGGAGGAGCGGUUGCGUUCUAGGAUUUGGUCGGAAUAGAUGCGGAAUUGAAUGUCUGUGGACAUCUCUUGAGCUGCUUGAUUGUUUGAUCGGUGAAACCCUGAAGUUUGAUCGGGGAGUAGCAGAAGAUUUGUGGGUAAAGUAAAUUGUUGUGUGAGGAAGGGAAAGGAGUGUGAUAUGUCGGAGGAGGGGGAGACGAGAGUUUCUCAAGAGAGUAUGUGUUCUUACCAUUCUCGGUAUGAACUCUCUGAGCUUCUAAAAGAUAACUGUAGGUGCAUUGAAGAUUCAUCUUGUGAGUUAGCAUAGCGUUGGAUUUCACACACAGCAAUGCCUCGAGAAAUAUUGUACCUGCAUACGGUAAGGAAUUUACUGGAAGCAGCUUUUGAGCAAGUGGAAUUGUGGAUUGUAAAGUUUGGGAAAUUGGCAAUUGAGUGUUCUUCGAAUCUAGGUUUUCUUGGUCUUGUUGAGUCUGAAGAUUACAACAUCCUAGGAUGUAACAGUAAGCAAUUUUAGGACUACAUUAAUAUUUUUUUUAUUAUUUAGGAUGUCAAAAGGUCUAAUAAAUAAUGUAGAGGCAAUACUGAAAGAAAGGGUUUUCUACUUGAGGAGGAUCCUGCCCUCUAUUUUUUUUCACCUUGGACAUGUGGAACCGUCGUUGUUGGUGGCGACGGUUCAUUCUCAUCAAGUUCAAGUAGCCCAUUGAUUUAGAGAUGAAGAGGGGAAUCAACAAAAACAUCUGAUAAGAUCUCUUUAAUUUUGAUUUAAUAAAGAGUGUAGUUUUUUCUUCUUCUUCGGUUUGGUUUGGUCCGAACAGGUUAACCGAAUCUAAGAAGAGUACUCUUCUAAAUCAGAACCAUUUAUAGACUUCAAGAUCGAACUAUUGAUGAACCAGUUUUGGCCGAAUUGGAUCUAGACCGAUUCAAUUUUGGUUUAGUUUUGGUUCGGUUGGUUCGAUCUGAACACCCCUACCAUGAAUAAUCUUUCUAAUAUUCACUAGCUCUUCAUAAGAGAAGAAUUACUUUAUAAUGUUUGUUUGCAAAUAUCAAUCUUUGAAUUCUAGCCUAUGUUGUUUAAGUGUAAGUCUUCCACCGUCCAAGUUCAGAGGCAUCCAAAUUCAGAGGCAUCCAAAUUCAGAGGCAACAAUAAAGCAAAAAAAAGAAGAAGACUAUUUUGCACCAGUCACACCCAAUGGUUGUAGGAGGCCGACACGGGCAAUUAAUUGCCUCUUGCUACUGAUCACCAUGGUAAGUGCAAAUAUUGAAUCAUUGUAAAUACAAACUUUAUCUUUCUACCAUGAUUGCAACUGACUUUAUGCAAGAUUGAGUAGAUAAUUUUUUGAUUUGGUUUUAUUCUAAUCUAAUUAGCUACUGCAUAUGAGUUUAUUUUGUUCUACCAAUGUGACUUUAUGAUUUUAUUAUGUUAAACAAAAAAUAAUGAUCAUUAAAUUCAAAAUUCUGGUACGUGGAACAUAGAUAUGCUAAUGGUGUUUAUUGUGUUUGACAUCAUAAAAAGUUUUUCCAAAACCAAGAAAACAAUACAAAAAAUUAAUUGUCAUGGCAAUUGGUUAAAAAUGCCAAAUUUAAUGAUGACUAGAGUACAACCCAUGCUUCAUACGAAGAUUAGUUAAGUCAAAGUGUAAAACUAAUUAAGGCUAAUGAUAUUAAAAUAUAUUAUUAUGGUUUUAAAAAAAGGUAAAACUAAAUAUAAAGAGAAAAGGUAUUUUUUUUAUUUUAUGAUUAUGGUAUAAUUAAAUAAUCAAAUCCUUAUCUUUUUCUUUAGGGCUUGAAUGAUAGAUUGGUUGAAAGCCUAAACUUGAGGUAAGUGGCUUGUCAGCCUAAAUAGGUGCUUUUGAAAUAAUAUUUUAAUUAUUAUUUUUGAAUAGUAAACAAAUCAGGAUAAGCAUGUAUUUCUAUUGUUUGGAUAUGAUAAAGUAUUAUAUGUUCUAGUUUAAAGAUGAUCCAUGUCUUAAUGUUUGUGUUAUGACAUGCUUCCAUGAUGUGCUAGUUAUUAAAUUGUUGUCCAUGUAUGAUUGUUUUAAUCAUGAAUUUUUAUUUGUCAUAAAUUCUUGUAUGAGAAAAGACAUGUUUAUAGCAAGUGCAAAGAUAAAUGGUAACAUUAUAUAUAUAUAUAUAUAUAUAUAUAUAUAUAUUCAAGUUAGUUCUCAUUAGUUCUACUACAAAGCCUUAUACCUCAUCAGGGAUUCUAAGGGUGGUAAACUUUCGAACUGUCACAAACUUAGCUGAUUUUGCCUAAGUCGUACGACACCCUUGCGUAUCUGUCCACAAAGGGUCAGCCUCCCCGAAACCUUUUAUGGUCCCUUAAGGACUUGCAAAAGAAAAAACGAAUUAGAGGAUGCGUUUAACUCAUGAUCCACAAGCAAUCAUUUCAGCAAGUACUUGAUAGACAAUGCAAAGUACAAACAUAGACUUUGUAAGCUCUGAAUGGUCGAACGACAAAGGGUCCAAGGUGGUCUGCCAUUGUUAAAAGCCUCCAUAAGUGUCCAUAUGACACUGUUGUAGAACAAGAUAGCGAACCAACCUUGGACACUACCCCAAAGGCUCAUCUAGCUAUGUGCCACUCGGGUAGUUUCCUGGGUGUUAUGUUGGCUGACACUUCGUACCACUCUGCGAAGCUAGAAAACCCUCAAAAUGGUUGCUUGAAUGCCUGUUAUUGAGUAGUUUUUCCUUUGUACGUCGAUUGCACACAACCUGCGUUUUACAAGCCUAAAAUAACCACAAAAGCCAACCAAAAUGGGGCUGCCAAAUCUACUGCAAGCCCUCUACAUGCUGUACAAAGCAUAAACAAAACCGAAAGAUACGGACAUACGUGAGCAUUACAUCGAACACCUAAUAUAUGGCUUUGUUUGUGAUAGAAGAGAUGACGUUUAAGUCCAUCGAGGCAGAGGCAAUGAGGUAGUAUAAGUGAUACCUGGUAGUAGUCUUGUAUGGAGAAUUAUAAAGAAAAUAUGUUAUAAGAUGAUUUUCUAAGGUAAUAUACUAUCAUCUUCUGAGAAAAGUACCCUUGGGUGGUAAACCCGUAACCCGACAUGUGGGGUGACACUUAAGUCCACCAAGGUUAUUGUCCACAGGGUGGGGUUUGAUUCCCUUGGGUUUAGUACGUACUUGACUAUCUAGUUAUUAUAUUUUCUGAAAGGAAUAUGAAAAGUAUAUGAUAUAUAUAUUAUUAUGUUUUUCGAUGUGACAUGAAUAGUUAUAACAUGUUUAAAUUUUUGCUUAGUCGCCUUACGAGGGAGGCGUGUGCGCUUAUUGAGUAUUUUUUGUAAAUACUCGUCUCACUCUUGUUGAUUUUUCUUUCAAAUGAAGAUAUCUCUAUGCAUGUGACAGAACCAGCUUUAAAUAUAAGUGAAAAUCAUGAACUCAACACAAGCAUGAAUGGAACGACUAAUAAUCAGGAAGUGGCAGCGACUAAGUCAAAUGAAUGGGUCCAAGACCUCUAUUAAAAAGCAAAUAUAGAAGUAAUAAACUGUUGGAGACUGUUUGACAGUAGCAUUCUUGUUACUUGCUUUUCAUUUGAAUUGGAAGUUUUUUUAUGUGUGUUGAAACUCAUGAACUAUGUAGUUUAGGUUGUAAUCAACUAUAGUUAUGGACUUCUAGUUGUGCUUGUAUGGUGUGACAUGUUGCUAUAACAUAUUGUAUGCGUACACCUUGAAUGCCUUUGUUUUGUGCUACUUGGGGUGAUGAGGUUAGACUCAAGUUAGCUCAAUCCAUAGUCAUUUGGUGGGAUCAAUCUAGUCCCUGGGAAUAUAGGUUUACGUAGAUACUAAGAGGCUUGAAUCGAGCAUUUAGUAGUCCACAUCUUAAUGUAUAAUACAAUUAACUCGUUGGUUGUUGAAUGUGUUUCUUAUAUGAUGAGUAUGACAAAAUACGCAUAUUUUGAAGUAAAGAUACAUUAAAGUUAAAUGUUUAUAAAUGUGCUUAGUUUGAAGAGUUAAAAUAUUUGUUUGAGAUGGGAAUGACACCAAAGAAGCAACAAAAUCUAAAGAUGAGAAAAAUGUAACCGGGCUACUUUAGACGAUGCUAAUAAUUACAAAAAGAAGUCAAAAACCAAUUACUUCAUGAGAUGUUUUUGAGAGAGGGUUAGCUAGGGUUUGGAUUUUAGGGUUUACCAAAAGAAGGAAGAAAAAACUGCACUACUCGUUAAAUCGAAAUUAAAGAGAUCUUACUGGAUCCCUUUGUUGAUCCCCUUAUUCGUCUCUAAAUUUAGGGCUCCUUGAUCUUGAUGAGGCUGAGCUGCUGCCACCAACAACGAUGGCUCCAUGGGUCCAAGGUGAAAAAAUAGGGGUGGGGGUCCUCCUUAAGUAGAAAAUAAGUAGAAAAUCUUAAAUUUUUUUUCCAAUAUUGCCCCUACAUUAUUUAUUAGACCUUUUUGUCAUCCUAAAUAAUAAAAAAUAUUAAUCUAGCCCUAAAAGUGCUUAUCGUGACAUUGAACCUAAAUUCUGUUCUUUUAUGCUAUGUUGUUUAAUGGCAAUAGUUCUCCAUUCAUGCACAAGAAAGCAAACUGGUUUAUUACUCAUGGAGCAGGAAAUGUGUAACAAUAUUAUACCUUGAUUAAUGAACUCAUUCAAAAUGGUGGCUUUGAAUGGGCAAAUUAAUUUUUCAUAUGAUGUGUUAGUUGAUUUUUGCCUAACUUGUAGGUGCAUUGGAGGCCUAGGCAUCUUUGACAUGCUUGCAAUUUUGGGGCUAGUGCCCAUGUUUUCCUUCCCUUUUCUUUCCCUCAUGUUAUGAGAUGACCAUCAUUCUUGAAACCUUUUCUUUGGCAAUCAGUUCAAGUUAGACUAAUCUUAGCUAGACUAGAAGGUUUCUCUGUUUGUGGGGUAAAGUUGUAUACACCAACUCUCCAAACCUUGCACUGGCACCUUGUGUAUUAGGCUUACCCUUUAACUAGGCUUAGCUCAAAGUCUUUAGUUCUAUGUUCUAGAUGAAAUGUUCUCUGGAUCGAGGUUGAGUUUGGGCACCUCGUGUUUCGUCUUUGAGCAACAUAAAACUACUAUCAUGAGCAUCAGUCUCAGUAGGGGUGUGCUUAAGGUGUGAUCAUAAGAGUCUAGCGAGAUGUUACAAACUAUAAUAUUACCAGUUUUGUUGUCAUUAAUACAUGUAAGAUCUGUGUGAUCCAUGUGGUCAAAGUAAUGUUCUUUGAGAAAAGAAAGGAGACCAGCUACCGGAGAAGUUUUUUACCUUAAUUGGGAAGGGUUAUGUCACUAAACAAGGACAUGUCGAGUCAUCCUCCUCGCUCCUAUAUCCUUUCUUUUUGUCAUUAUUUUUUUUUUCUUUUCUCGUAUAUCAAUGUUAUUUUCUUCGUCUAAUUGAUACAACAUUCUAUACUUCAAUUAGUGAGCCACAAUACAUUUUUGCACAUAAAUUAGUGAACUUAAUUAAUAUUAGGUUUGUCCCAUCUUUAAUGUUGUGAGAUGUGUCUUGCUUUGCUAUGUGUACAUGUAUAGGUUGGCACUUCACUGCACCUUGGUUCUUUGAACCUUCAACAGUGAGAAUGAGUGUUUUAUGCUAAAAUGAUGAGUUCCAUCUUAUAUUUGCAGGUUUUGUUUUAAAUAUCAAUCAAUAUAUGAAUGUAGAUAGAAGUAAUUGACUGGACGUAUAUGUUUUUGAUUGCCUAUUCUUUGGAUAGUUUAUGUCAGGACUCUGAACGAGUCAUGAAAUUGUGACAAUGAAUUUUUAGUAAACCCUUUGUUUGCUUUAUGCAUCUCUCAAUAUUGUCACAAUUUUGUCAGGGCAUCUAGUUUCCUGCUUUUGUUCCCAUCGUAAGUUCCCUGAUAUCAUGGCUGCUGCUGUACAUAUGUUCUAGCCUUUUCAAUAACGGAGAGUGUUUCUUUCACUAUCCAGUACUUUCAUGGGAAGCGCGUGGUUUACUUUGUUGUUGCUUUACUGUUAAUGAUCAUGCCAUAAAGGAUCUUUUUCAUUGAUUUUUGUACUAUUAUCAUGAUGCGGUUUCAAUGGGAUAAUCGAUCCAUUAAUUUAUUAAAUUUUGUUGAGCUUGAAUCACCGGUCAAAAUGUUUAAGUCUAAAUCGCUUAUAAACUAAAUAGACUAACUCAACUCUUCUUCAUGUUCCCAUGUGAGAUCAAGGUGAAUCAAAUCCAAAACUGUAGUAUGGUGCACACAAAGCCCAAUCCAGCAGUGGCUCUUAUCAUGACCCUUUGGUCAUGGCCACGGGUAUUCCUUUUCUAUUUGAAUUAUUAUUUGUUGGUUAUGAUUCCAUUCAUGGCCUAAUAACUUUUUCAAACAUGAAUCAUUGGUCCAAAAUACUUAAGUUCAAGUUGAUGAUAGUAUACCUAUUACCUAAAGUUUUAUUCUGCUUUUGAUGUGGGACUGAAGUUGAGUUAUUACACUAUUAUUACAUGUAUCUUGUCUGAGCCCAUAGUGACUAAAACCUCUAUUGGGAAACAUGUGAAUCGAUCAUUAUAUAUGUUUGCAGAAACUUAAGGAAAUCUUAAAAGAAAAUUAAUAUCCUAACCAUGAGGCAAAAGAAGGUUUUGCAGGAGAACCAGGGGUGACUGCUAGAAAGGUCUACACCUUGCUUUUCUUUCACUGUUUUAUCUGUUUCUUGUUUUUUCUAACCCUUUCUUCUUCUCUCUUCUGAACACACAACUGUACUGCUAUGAUGCUUCCUCUGCAGAUCAGGAGAUGGUUUUGCAGCAACUUCUCGAACGAUUCCUGAUAAAGGACCUGAUCUGCUAAUCCCGUUGGAGCAGAAAGAACACUAAGUCGAGCAAAGGGAAUGCUGAAGGCUCCUCUGCCAAUGUGAGCAAUGAGAAAGGAUCACCUGAAGCACAUAAUUGGAAGAAUGAAGUUGAACCUAAAAAAAGAAACAGCAGACAAACGACGGGCGGAAGGCGUGGGGAUGGGAGCUGAGAAGGAGAAGAAAUAGUAGGUUAAGAUACUUGCAUUCCGAUGAGUAGGAUUGCAGUCUGGUGGAUGCGUCUGAGGUUUGGAGUGACGAAACUUAGUUGCAAGCUUUGUUCGCCCAAAACAUUUCUGAACUCAAGACAAUCCGUUAGUCGAUUACAGACAUUGAGGCAGUUCUGAGCAAAUUGACAUUGCUGAUCGGGUGCUCGCUGGCAGGAGAAAUCUCCUCCCGCUGCUUCUUCUUCUUCUCAAGAGGUUGGGCAGCGAUGGAAGCAGUCUGAGAUCCUUGUUUGUACUUACUUGUACACUAACCUAACAAAAAAAAUUGAUUGAACCAUGUUGUACCAACAGUCAUCAUCAUCAGCCAUUUUAGCAUGGCAAUUGUCUGUCCCGACUGAGGUGAGGAACCUCAUUCAGCAAUUUGUAUGGGGGGUGCUACUAUGGAACGGCAUUUGGCUAUCCACCAGCUAUUGAUGGAUGGAUGGAUUGAAAGUCCGAUUAGUUUGGUGUAUAGUUUGAUCAAUCUUUUUUUGUAGGGGAUUUCAUGUGGAUGUUUUUGCCUACUGGUGUA